rnacentral:rRNA from 1 species
GAUGAACGCUAGCGAUAGGCUUAACACAUGCAAGUCGAGGGGCAGCACAAGGUAGCUUGCUAUCUGGGUGGCGACCGGCGCACGGGUGCGUAACGCGCAUGCAACUUGCCCUAUACAGGAGGAUAACCCGUCGAAAGACGGACUAAUACUGCGUAUGCUCACAACUUGGCAUCAAGUGGUGAGGAAAGAAAUUCGGUAUAGGAUAGGCAUGCGUCCCAUUAGCUUGUUGGUGAGGUAACGGCUCACCAAGGCAACGAUGGGUAGGGGAACUGAGAGGUUUAUCCCCCACACGGGUACUGAGACACGGACCAGACUCCUACGGGAGGCAGCAGUGAGGAAUAUUGGUCAAUGGGCGCGAGCCUGAACCAGCCAAGUCGCGUGAAGGAUGACUGUCUUAUGGAUUGUAAACUUCUUUUAGACGGGAAUAACAAGAGUCACGUGUGACUCCCUGCAUGUACCGUAUGAAUAAGCAUCGGCUAACUCCGUG